rnacentral:rRNA from 1 species
AGUCGAAGGUAACAGGAAUUAGCUUGCUAAUUUGCUGACGAGUGGCGCACGGUUGCGUAACGCGUAUACAAUCUACCUUUUGCUGAGGGAUAGCCCAGAGAAAUUUGGAUUAAUACCUCAUGGUAUUAUUGAUAGGCAUCUAUUAAUAAUUAAAGGUUACGGCAAAAGAUGAGUAUGCGUCCCAUUAGCUAGUUGGUGAAGUAACGGUUCACCAAGGCAACGAUGGGUAGGGGUCCUGAGAGGGAGAUCCCCCACACUGGUACUGAGACACGGACCAGACUCCUACGGGAGGCAGCAGUGAGGAAUAUUGGACAAUGGGCGAGAGCCUGAUCCAGCCAUGCCGCGUGCAGGAAGACUGCCCUAUGGGUUGUAAACUGCUUUUAUACAGGAAGAAUAAGCCUUACGUGUAAGGUGAUGACGGUACUGUAAGAAUAAGGACCGGCUAACUCCGUGCCAGCAGCCGCGGUAAUACGGAGGGUCCGAGCGUUAUCCGGAAUUAUUGGGUUUAAAGGGUCCGUAGGCGGAUGAUUAAGUCAGGGGUGAAAGUUUGCAGCUCAACUGUAAAAUUGCCUUUGAUACUGGUCAUCUUGAGUUGUAUUGAAGUAGGCGGAAUAUGUAGUGUAGCGGUGAAAUGCAUAGAUAUUACAUAGAACACCAAUUGCGAAGGCAGCUUACUAAGUACUAACUGACGCUGAUGGACGAAAGCGUGGGUAGCGAACAAGAUUAGAUACCCUGGUAGUCCCGCCGUAAACGAUGGAUACUAGCUGUUCGGGACCUUGAGUUCUGAGCGGCUAACCGAAAGUGAUAAGUAUCCCACCUGGGGAGUAC